UGCCCCUGGCCAGGGAGGGGCUCGUUCUCCAUGAACACCACCUCACCAGCUGUCCAGGCUUGCCAAGGCUUCCGCAACAGCCCCGGACAAGGUGGAAUGGAAUUCUCCCGGGGCUGGGGCAGGGCAAGAAUCGGAGAGUUCCUCCAGCACCCAGUGCCUGCCUCGCAGACCGUGGGAAGCCUGUGCCGUCCACGCAAGGCACCCACAUGGAGCCACGACCUGGGCUGUGGCCCAGCUCUGUGUCCAUCACUGCAGCUCAAGAGACACCAUGGGGCAGGAGUUUGGUGCGAUGUUCAAGAUGCCGCUCAGGACACCUGCACCCCUAACGGAGGCCCUGGUUUCAAGUCCCAGCUCUGCUCCUGAUCCAGCCACCUGAGAAUGUGCACCUAAGGGAGCCGCAGGUGACGGCUCAAGGGCUUGGACCCCUGCCACCCAUGUGGGAGACCCAGACGGAGUUCCAGGCUCCCAGAUUUGGCCUGGUCCAGUCCUGGCUGUUGUAGGCGCUUAGGGAGUAAACUAGCAAAUGACAGAUAUUUCUCUCUCCUUUUAAAAUUUUAUUUGAGAGAGAGAGACAGAGAAGGGGACCAGGGAUGGAUUUGCGCCUGGAUUCUGGGUAACCUGAUCCUUUGUUUGCAGGAGUGGAAGAGACAGAGUAGUGCCAGGUGUUUAUCCGCUGUCCUUUGGCUUGGCUCUGUGGCUUUGGGCACCUUUGCUACCACAGUUCCCAGAAUCCUAUGCAGUUGGCCUUCUACCUGGUGCUCUGGGUAGGAGGCCCUGGCAGAAGAUCCAAAGGCGGGACAAGGUCCUUCCUUCUCCCUGUUUGGCGCUGUCCCUACUAGUGCAACCCUUGGCCCCAGCCCUGCUGCACCUGCUGCACCUGCUCAGUGUCUGAGCUCCUGCUCCAGGGCCCCCACUCGCAGCCUCUGGGUUCCCUAAGCCCAGCUUCUCCCCUCUCAUUCCCCAGCCCCAGAGGCCACAGCUGCUCUCCAGGGUUAUUUUCUCCAGGUUCCCCUCAGGGGCUCCCUUUAGUCUCCUUCUGCCUGCAGGCCCAAGUCCUUCCAUUAAAUUCCCUCUGUCGAAAUCCUGGGAUGAUUUCUGUUUUCCUGAUGGGCUCCCACUGGGACAGUAAGAACCCAAGCUGCCCUCCAGGGAGCUGCCACGGCAUACACGAGACCAAGCAGGGCAAAGGGGAGCACAGCGGCUUUGGGCCAGGUUGGUCCCAAGACAAAAUUCCCAGCUGGCAUUUGCUCCCCGAGCGACUUGGGGCUAGCUCCCUGGUUUCUCCGGGCCUCCAUACCCUCACCUGAAAAUAGGGUUGAUUACACAACUCUGAUUCAUCAGUCUCCUCGGGCACAGACUAAAAAAAAGUUAGAUGCAGAUUAGGCAAAAGGGUGAACUCAUGCUGGACUAUUUCCAGGGGAAUAGCUACCAAGCACAGAGGGCAGGAAGGCAAGGGCAUAGCUUGCCUCACACGGCUGGGAUCAGAGACGCCAGCACAGCCAAGGUCUCUCUGCCCCCCCCCCAAUCUGCAUCUCUCAGGGUGCGGCCACGUUCUCACCCGAGGUCACCGUCUCCAUGUGGGGGGAAGACAACGCUCUCUAGAAGCUUCCAGACUCUCGCCCUUACAGCUUUGCCCAGAGAAGAAAAGGUUUCCCUGGUCAAGAGCCUGAAGUGAACCUGAAGGGGCUCAGACCGGGUGUGCCCAGGGCUCGUGCCUUCGGGAGGCCCUGUGUGAAGAUCCCCUCCGUGACUUCCAGCUUCCCGAGGCUCACGUCCACAUCCUUCCUGUCCCCUUGCCCCCUCUGCUUCCCCAAGACCCCCUGUGAGUAAACCAAGACGCCUGACUAAUCUUCCCAUGUCAAGACCCUUAAAUGCAUCUCGCCUGUAAAGUCCACUUCCCUGUGUAAGGUACUAACACAGUUGCAGGUUCUGGAAAUUCGGAGGCAGACGUGUUUGAGGGCCAUUAUUCUGCCAAGCACGACAGCUACCCAGGGCUUUCACCAGAACCGCUCCAAUCCAACCACGCACCCUACACAGCCUCCCAGUCCACGCUCUGAGCUGCAGAGGUGUCCGGGUGCGUGACUCCUGCACAGCACCUCCCCGCUCCCUGCUUCAGUCUCCCGAGCCACAGAGGCUCAAGGAGCACAGCCAAGGUCAUGCUGUUCCCUCGAGCCCCCAAGCACAGGCUCGCCACCAAGCCACUGCCCCCGGCAGGCCAGGCCAGAGGUGGCCUUUCAGACAGCCAGUCAGAAGGGAGAAGCCAGGCAGGCCAUUGGAGGGCGCGUUGGCCAAGGAGGCCAAGCGGAUCAUCACUAAAGAGGAAAAGGAAGCUG